rnacentral:misc_RNA from 1 species
UCCGGCUUGUCACCGGCAGUUUCUUCAGAGUGCCCAACUAAAUGAUGGCAACUAAGGACGAGGGUUGCGCUCGUUGCGGGACUUAACCCAACAUCUCACGACACGAGCUGACGACAGCCAUGCAGCACCUGUGCACGGUCCAGCCGAACUGAAGGAAACCAUCUCUGGAAUCCGCGACCGGCAUGUCAAACGCUGGUAAGGUUCUGCGCGUUGCUUCGAAUUAAACCACAUGCUCCGCUGCUUGUGCGGGUCCCCGUCAAUCCCUUUGAGUUUUAGCCUUGCGGCCGUACUCCCCAGGCGGGGCGCUUAAUGCGUUAGCUUCGGCACGGAAGGAGUCGACACCUCCCACACCUAGCGCCCAUCGUUUACGGCGUGGACUAC